GGGGAGAGAACUACUUCAAAAAGGAGGAGAAACGUAAAAACAGAGAGAGGGAGCUGAACUUUGUUUUGUAGUUUUCAUUCUUCUAAACUACCCACACUUUGUUAUACCACCAUUAGUGACUUGUUAUGGCAAGGCAAGUUUCUGAAACCAGCACGAGGAGGGUCUGACCUGACCAGAGUUAUCUGAGGAGCACAUGGGUGUCUUGUAUGCAAAACUGAGCCCUCAGCCAAAAAGUCUAUAGUAAUCACUGGGGGAGAAUAUCGCAUGAGAUGUGAGAGAAUCAAACUAAAACUUACAAAUUCUGUAGAACUGGACAAGAGCGGCAUGAUUACUGAUUGAGAUGGCUGUCAAAAGAUGCAAGAGAGAUUUAAACAGAGAGUACAAUGAAGAACAGAAGAUUUACAUAUAAAAUAAAAAGAGUCAGCUUGCAAGAGACUAAAUAUCAAAUUUUGUGAUGAAAGCUCUGCAAAAAGGCAAUAUUAUUCCACGACUUUUAUCAAGAAUAAAUCCAACGUCAACCGUGGGACCGAGUUCCUGGCCUGAGCAGCGAGCGGGAUGAAGCCUUCCCCCACAAGACACAGAAUAUUAAUUCACACCUCCUCACAAAUCCAGGUUAUGCCCCUCUAGUGCCUGAAGGGGCUUGGAUUUACCCCUUAACACACAUUCAAUGAGGCUCCA